rnacentral:rRNA from 1 species
GUGGGGAAUAUUGGACAAUGGGCGAAAGCCUGAUCCAGCCAUGCCGCGUGUGUGAAGAAGGUCUUCGGAUUGUAAAGCACUUUAAGUUGGGAGGAAGGGUAGUAACCUAAUACGUUGCUACUUUGACGUUACCGACAGAAUAAGCACCGGCUAACUUCGUGCCAGCAGCCGCGGUAAUACGAAGGGUGCAAGCGUUAAUCGGAAUUACUGGGCGUAAAGCGCGCGUAGGUGGUUCAGUAAGUUGGAAGUGAAAUCCCCGGGCUCAACCUGGGAACUGCUUUCAAAACUGCUGAGCUAGAGUACGGGAGGGGGUGGUGGAAGUUCCUGUGUAGCGGUGAAAUGCGUAGAUAUAGGAAGUAACACCAGUGGCGAAGGCGACCACCUAGACUGAUACUGACACUGAGGUGCGAAAGCGUGGGGAGCAAACAGGAUUAGAUACCCCGGUAGUCC